GAUGAACGCUGGCGGCGUGCCUAAUACAUGCAAGUCGAGCGAACAGACGAGGAGCUUGCUCCUCUGACGUUAGCGGCGGACGGGUGAGUAACACGUGGAUAACCUACCUAUAAGACUGGGAUAACUUCGGGAAACCGGCGCUAAUACCGGAUAAUAUAUUGAACCGCAUGGUUCAAUAGUGAAAGACGGUUUUGCUGUCACUUAUAGAUGGAUCCGCGCCGCAUUAGCUAGUUGGUAAGGUCACGGCUUACCAAGGCAACGAUGCGUAGCCGACCUGAGAGAGUGAUCGGCCACACUGGAACUGAGACACGGUCCAGAGUCCUACGGGAGGCAGCAGUAGGGAAUCUUCCGCAAUGGGCGAAAGCCUGACGGAGCAGCGCCGCGUGAGUGAUGAAGGUCUUCGGAUCGUAAAACUCUGUUAUUAGGGAAGAACAAAUGUGUAAGUAACUAUGCACGUCGUGACGGUACCUAAUCAGAAAGCCACGGCUAACUACGUG
rnacentral:rRNA from 1 species